UACUAUAUAACUGCUUGAUUAUCUUCCCUUAAGAUUAUUGCUUGUAAAUGAUUAAAAAUAGAACAAGUUAAUACGCAAAUUUCUAUAUUGUAUACGGACAUAGAAUUUAUUUGUCCAGUAUAUAAUUAAUAUUUAACUAUCCCUUUGACCAAUCACAAAAGACCUUGUUGGAGCUGCUACAUGACCCCCUCAAGGUGGUCACAGUAAGAUGGCGGCCGCGCGCGACUUCCGGCUUCAAUUUCUGUAUCUAUAGUUGCGCUCUCCAUAUAUUUAUAGCUCAGUGGUUCCCACUCAUCAAUGAAAUGCUAUAGAAAAUACUAUACUUUUCGAGGCUUUUUUGCAUUUCUGGAUUAAAAAUACCUUUUUGAGGUACGUUCGCCUUGAAAUCGCAGCUUUUUUGGAAAAGGGUACAAGAAAAAAACAUUAAUUGGCGAUGUUGUUGUCUUUGAAUCGCAUUUUAAAGCUAACAAUUUCGAAUUACGAC